UGGUGGAGUGAUUUGUCUGGUUAAUUCCGUUAACGAACUAGACCUCAGCUUGUUGGUUGUUUCAAGUUAAAAUUCUUAGCUUGAAGGAUUGAGAAGGACGAUCGGUCUUUAGCCGAUGGAAGUUUGAGGCAAUAACA
rnacentral:rRNA from 1 species